rnacentral:rRNA from 1 species
AGUGAACGCUGGCGGUAGGCCUAACACAUGCAAGUCGAACGGCAGCACAGUAAGAGCUUGCUCUUACGGGUGGCGAGUGGCGGACGGGUGAGGAAUACAUCGGAAUCUACUUUUUCGUGGGGGAUAACGUAGGGAAACUUACGCUAAUACCGCAUACGACCUACGGGUGAAAGCAGGGGAUCUUCGGACCUUGCGCGAUUGAAUGAGCCGAUGUCGGGUUAGCUAGUUGGCGGGGUAAAGGCCCACCAAGGCGACGAUCCGUAGCUGGUCUGAGAGGAUGAUCAGCCACACUGGAACUGAGACACGGUCCAGACUCCUACGGGAGGCAGCAGUGGGGAAUAUUGGACAAUGGGCGCAAGCCUGAUCCAGCCAUACCGCGUGGGUGAAGAAGGCCUUCGGGUGGUAAAGCCCUUUUGUUGGGAAAGAAAAGCAGCAGGUUAAUACCCCGCUGUUCUGACGGUACCCAAAGAAUAAGCACCGGCUAACUUCGU